rnacentral:lncRNA from 1 species
CCAUCCAACACUGGAAAUAAUAGUCUUCCACUCCAACCAAUCUCACUUCACAUAAUUUUUGUAAUUUAUAGACUUCUUCUGUCAAAACACACACAACUCUCAAUUAACAAAAAUAUUCAAAAUCAAUCUUCCAUAGAAUCUAAUAAAAAAAUUUCAAUAUUUUUUCAUAAUAAUUCAAUCACAUAGUACUCCAAUUACAUACUCAAUAUCUCAUAAAUCAAUCAUUGAUUUACUUCAUAGAUUUACUUCACAAUAUUUAGAAACUAUUUGUUACUCUUCAACUACAAAGAAAACAAAAAAAACAAAGAGGUAGCACCAAGCUUACUCCAGCUCAUGAGUAUCAUAGUUUGGCCCCUCUAUUAUCUUCUUCAACUUACUUAUGUUUUAUUUUUGAAAUUUUAGAUUCUAACUAUUAUUCCCUACUUAAUCAUUUUUGACAACUAAUUCAAUCAUUCGACCUACUAAAUUAACAACCCUAAGACUGAUUAAUCUACCUUAUUCAUAGCUUAUAAAAACAAAUUUCUAUCCAU